rnacentral:rRNA from 1 species
AACGAACGCUGGCGGCAGGCUUAACACAUGCAAGUCGAGCGCCCCGCAAGGGGAGCGGCAGACGGGUGAGUAACGCGUGGGAAUCUACCCAUCUCUACGGAAUAACGCAUGGAAACGUGUGCUAAUACCGUAUACGUCCUUCGGGAGAAAGAUUUAUCGCCCUUAGACGGGCCCGCGUCGGAUUAGCUAGUUGGUGGGGUAACGGCCUACCAAGGCGACGAUCCGUAGCUGAUCUUAGAGGAUGAUCAGCCACACUGGGACUGAGACACGGCCCAGACUCCUACGGGAGGCAGCAGUGGGGAAUCUUGGACAAUGGGCGCAAGCCUGAUCCAGCCAUGCCGCGUGAGUGAAGAAGGUCUUAGGGUUGUAAAGCUCUUUCAGUGGGGACGAUAAUGACGGUACCCACAGAAGAAGCCCCGGCUAACUUCGUGCCAGCAGCCGCGGUAAAAC